ACUGCGGAGGACAUUA
rnacentral:rRNA from 13 species